AGGCUUUUUCAGGGGGUGCUCGUCGGCAAAACCUCCCCAAAGGAACAGCCUCGCUCUGCACUGCUUCGGACAUCAAUAUUCGGCAGAGGCAAGCCAAGCAGAACAGCCACCUAUUUGGCCAUUUUCAUUCGCAUCUUGGGACUCUGGAACUGUUUCUGUAUCAUCAUAAGAAAUGCCAAGAGAGAAGAGCCCUGGCUUGAAAAUCCUGUGGCUCUGGACCCUCGGCACUGCCGCCAUACUCGUCACGAGUGUUGUUCGGAAUAGGCUGCGAGAUAUGGAGAGCCUCAUGAAUGCUCAACAACAGGAACCCAUUCCCUCAGAUACGCUUCUGGUUGACACGGUGCCGGGGUCUGAGGAUGUUGUGCGAGAAGACACAUCAUAGUUGUGGUUGCGAUAAGAAGACAUGGAGAAGCAUACAGACAUGUUAGGAGAAGGUACUUGGACCAAUUUUAUUCUAUUGGACUACUUGCUGGAAUCUGAGGAAGUUUCAGAGUUACUGGAUUGUUUCGAUGUCAUCUCGUAGCAAACUUUUUUGUUGAUUUUUUUUUUUUUUUUUUUUUGUUCUCAAAAAUUUGAUUCUUGUUGGACAGGAAUAAUAUAAAAACGAUGUUCUAUGGGAUUUUUCUC